rnacentral:tRNA from 1 species
GGCCUGAUAGCUCAACCGGUAGAGCGCUGCACUGGAAUCGCAGAGGUGAGGGUUUGAGUCCCCUUUAGGCCU